rnacentral:rRNA from 1 species
UACAGAGGGUGCAAGCGUUGUUCGGAAUUAUUGGGCGUAAAGAGCUCGUAGGCGGUUUGUCGCGUCUGCUGUGAAAACUCGGGGCUUAACCCCGGGCCUGCAGUGGGUACGGGCAGACUAGAGUGCGGUAGGGGAGACUGGAAUUCCUGGUGUAGCGGUGAAAUGCGCAGAUAUCAGGAAGAACACCCGUGGCGAAGGCGGCUCGCUGGGACGGUACUGACGCUGAGACGCGAAAGCGUGGGGAGCGAACAGG